rnacentral:rRNA from 1 species
GACGAACGCUGGCGGCGUGCUUAACACAUGCAAGUCGAACGGUGAAGGGACCGGUUUUUGCUGGUUCUGGAUGAGUGGCGAACGGGUGAGUAACACGUGAGUAACCUGCCCCCUUCUUCUGGAUAACCGCAUGAAAGUGUGGCUAAUACGGGAUAUUCUGCGCCUGCUGCAUGGUGGGUGUGGGAAAGAUAUUGUUUCGGUGGGGGAUGGGCUCGCGGCCUAUCAGCUUGUUGGUGGGGUGAUGGCCUACCAAGGCGGUGACGGGUAGCCGGCCUGAGAGGGUGGACGGUCACACUGGGACUGAGACACGGCCCAGACUCCUACGGGAGGCAGCAGUGGGGAAUAGUGCACAAGGGGCGCAAGCCUGAUGCAGCGACGCCGCGUGAGAGAUGGAGGCCUUCGGGUUGUAAACCUCUUUCGCCAGUGAAGCAGGCCUGUCCCUUUUGUGGGUGGGUUGACGGUAGCUGGAUAAGAAGCGCCGGCUAACUACGUG